GCGCCCUUAGCUCAGUUGGAUAGAGCAACAGCCUUCUAAGCUGUGGGUCAGUGGUUCGAAUCCACUAGGGCGCGCCA
rnacentral:tRNA from 3 species